rnacentral:rRNA from 1 species
CCUACGGGCGGCAGCAGUGAGGAAUAUUGGUCAAUGGGCGCGAGCCUGAACCAGCCAAGUAGCGUGAAGGAUGACUGCCCUACGGGUUGUAAACUGCUUUUAUAAAGGAAUAAAGUGAGGCACGUGUGCCUGUUUGUAUGUACCUUAUGAAUAAGGAUCGGCUAACUCCGUGCCAGCAGCCGCGGUAAUACGGAGGAUCCGAGCGUUAUCCGGAUUUAUUGGGUUUAAAGGGAGCGUAGACGGGUUGUUAAGUCAGUGGUGAACAUUUGCGGCUCAACCGUGAAAUUGCAUUUGAUACUGGCAGGCUUGAGUGCAGGUGAGGUAGGCGGAAUUCGUGGUGUAGCGGUGAAAUGCUUAGAUAUCAGGAGGAACACCGAUUGCGAAGGCAGCUCACUGGACUGUAACUGACGCUGAGGCUCGAAAGUGUGGGUAUCAAACAGGAUUAGAUACCCGAGUAGUC